rnacentral:rRNA from 1 species
UUGAUCACUAAAGUCAUGGAUCUUAGGGCCGGCAAGUUUGCUAACAAAAUGUUUAGCAUCCAACAAAAUGCGUUCAUUAAAGGAAGGCAUAUUGUGGAUGGUAUCUUAUCCCUACAUGAGGUGUUGCACUAUACUCAUGUGAAAAAGCAGGCGAGAGUAGUUCUUAAGAUCGAUUUCGAGAAGGCCUAUGACAAAGUGAAUUGGGAGUUCCUACUUGAUUGUCAUGUUAAACGUGGCUUUAAUUCCAAGUGGUGCGGGUGGGUUUCGCAAAUCCUUAAAAAUGGUACAGUGAGUGUGAAGAUCAAUGAUGAGAUAGCACCAUAUAUCCAAAGUGCCAAGGGGGUGCGACAAGGCGACCCACAUUCUCCUUUCUUGUUUAACCUUGUAGUUGAGUGCUUGACUAAGAUGGUACUUGCUGCUCAAAAAAAGAUCUCAUCAAAG